rnacentral:rRNA from 1 species
GACGAACCGUGCAAACGUUGUUCGGAAUCACUGGGCUUAAAGGGCGCGUAGGCGGGCGGUCAAGUCUGUGGUGAAAUCCUUCGGCUCAACCGGAGAAUAGCUGGAGAUACUGGCCGUCUCGAGGGGGGUAGGGGCAUGUGGAACUUCCGGUGGAGCGGUGAAAUGCGUAGAUAUCGGGAGGAACACCAGUGGCGAAGGCGACUACCUGGCCUGUUCUUGACGCUGAGGCGCGAAAGCUAGGGGAGCAAACGGG